rnacentral:rRNA from 1 species
UGAGGAAUAUUGGUCAAUGGACGCAAGUCUGAACCAGCCAUGCCGCGUGCAGGAUGACGGCUCUAUGAGUUGUAAACUGCUUUUGUACUAGGGUAAACUCACCUACGUGUAGGUGACUGAAAGUAUAGUACGAAUAAGGAUCGGCUAACUCCGUGCCAGCAGCCGCGGUAAUACGGAGGAUUCAAGCGUUAUCCGGAUUUAUUGGGUUUAAAGGGUGCGUAGGCGGUUUGAUAAGUUAGAGGUGAAAUGUUAGGGCUCAACCCUGAAACUGCCUCUAAUACUGUUGGACUAGAGAGUAGUUGCGGUAGGCGGAAUGUAUGGUGUAGCGGUGAAAUGCUUAGAGAUCAUACAGAACACCGAUUGCGAAGGCAGCUUACCAAACUAUAUCUGACGUUGAGGCACGAAAGCGUGGGGAGCAAACAGGAUUAGAUACCCUGGUAGUCCACGCAGUAAACGAUGAUAACUCGUUGUCGGCGAUACACAGUCGGUGACUAAGCGAAAGCGAUAAGUUAUCCACCUGGGGAGUACGUUCGCAAGAAUGAAACUCAAAGGAAUUGACGGGGGCCCGCACAAGCGGAGGAACAUGUGGUUUAAUUCGAUGAUACGCGAGGAACCUUACCCGGGCUUGAAAGUUAGCGACGAUUCUUGAAAGAGGAUUUCCCUUCGGGGCGCGAAACUAGGUGCUGCAUGGUUGUCGUCAGCUCGUGCCGUGAGGUGUCGGGUUAAGUCCCAUAACGAGCGCAACCCCUACCGUUAGUUGCCAUCAGGUCAAGCUGGGCACUCUGGCGGGACUGCCGGUGUAAGCCGAGAGGAAGGUGGGGAUGACGUCAAAUCAGCACGGCCCUUACGUCCGGGGCUACACACGUGUUACAAUGGUAGGUACAGAGGGCAGCUACCCAGCGAUGGGAUGCGAAUCUCGAAAGCCUAUCUCAGUUCGGAUUGGAGGCUGAAACCCGCCUCCAUGAAGUUGGAUUCGCUAGUAAUCGCGCAUCAGCCAUGGCGCGGUGAAUACGUUCCC